CAGCCUUCCAAAAGGCUUCAUGGUUGUCUGGUGUGUUUUGAGCUCAGCUUGAGAUCCCAGUGAAGUCUCAACGAUCAAGAUGGGCUGCUUUUCCAUUCUUGUCCUCUUGGGCUUACUCUUGUUCUCUGCAGGUCUCACAGAAGGACGAUUCUCCUUUAAAGAGUGUGAAAGCUAUGGGGGUAGUUGCCACAUGUGGGGGUGUCCAGGAAACACACACCUCGGAAACUGUAAUAUCUACAACAUGGUUUGCUGUUCAAAGGUAGUUGAAUCUUAAGCGAACAAGGAGCUGUGACAAUGGGGUUCCAGUAAUCACAUGGUUACCAAAGAAGAAGCUAUGCUGUGCUUAUUGCCUAAAUGUAGAGUAGAAGGACAAUUGCAGAAAU